UACGGAGGGGGCAAGCGUUGUCCGGAAUUACUGGGCGUAAAGCGCGUGUAGGCGGGACGGUUAGUCGAACGUGAAAGGCUGGGGCUCAACCCCAGAUCGCCGGUCGAAACUGCCGUUCUUGAGGGUCGAAGAGGAGAGUGGAAUUCCUGGUGUAGCGGUGAAAUGCGUAGAGAUCAGGAGGAACACCCAUGGCGAAGGCAGCUCGCUGGUCGACAUCUGACGCUGAGACGCGAAAGCGUGGGGAGCGAACGGG
rnacentral:rRNA from 1 species